UACAGGGGGUGCAAACGUUGCUCGGAAUUAUUGGGCGUAAAGCGCGCGUAGGCGGCUAUUUAAGUCGGAUGUGAAAGCCCCUGGCUCAACUGGGGAAGUGCACCCGAAACUGAAUGGCUUGAGUGCAAAAGAGGGCCGCGGAAUUCCCGGUGUAGAGGUGAAAUUCGUAGAUAUCAAGCAGAACACCUGCGGCGAAGGCGGCCUUCUGGACGAUGACUGACGCUGAGACGCGAAAGCGUGGGGAGCAAACAGG
rnacentral:rRNA from 1 species